GGAUUGCUUUGGAAACACAAAUAGGGUUGGUUUAGUGCUCUGCAAAUGUCCCAUUUUUUAAACAUUCUUUCUGGAAUAAUAUGGAAAGAAAUUAUACAUUAUACCAAGACAAGCUAUUUUAGAUUUCAACUAUAUUAUUUUUGGUUUUGAUUUUUAGGAUCAACUUCAGUACCUACAACAGUACCUUCUGUGCCCACUGCUCACCUGUGACCACCCAGCUGGAGACAACAGACUGCCACCCUGCUGUGUUCACAGAGACAGAAGACCUACCUGCUAUUUCCAUCAAUCGCUGUGCCGAGAGAGCAGUCUCGCG
rnacentral:lncRNA from 1 species